GAAGACUUGCUGCAGUCUCGAGAAACAAGGACUUCCAGUCUUCAGGUCACCUCAUCAGGAGAUAACCAGGUCUUCCUUAGUGCAUUGCAAGAACUUGUCUGGAGCAGGCCAUUCCUGGAUUGCAAGGUUGGUAAGCUAUUACUCAGCUAUACUGUUAUUUUUAGGAAGUUGUUAUUGGCGGAUCUAAAUUUUUCUCACACUGAGCUAUGAUGUUAACUUCAGUUUAAAAACUUUGGUUUAGGUACAAGUUCCACAACAUAGUAAUUUCGGUUGUGUCAUGGUUUGCAUUUUUUCUGUCAGGUUUGUAUUUUAGAAAAGAGGAUAGCUCUGAAUUGGAAAGUUCAAUUUACUGCAUGUUAUUGGCUUAUUAUGUAUUUAUACUGUAUCAUAAAAACUGCUUAUACUGCCAAAGUGAUACACCACCUUUGCUACAAGGCUAGAAUAUUUUUCCAGUAUGAAGAGGAGCAGGUACACUGUAGAAAGCUAAGUAUGUAAGUACUUCAGGCAAGCAACAGUUGUAGGUUUCUAUAGCUAUGUUAUAUAGAUGUGUUUAUACUGACAUUCUUUUAAGAAUACCUUCCCCUUAAUGGAAUACUUAGUGUUAGCUUUAACUAUAUAACUUCUCUUAAAAAGUUCUAAAUACAAAUUCAGCUUCACAGAGAGGAAAAGAAAAAAAGCUGCUUGAAUGGUGUAGGUCACACAUAUGCACUUAUUUACUCCCACCCAUAUUUUGACGUGAAAUCAAGUAUGCUUACUGUGGCAUAGGAGAUAAGUUUAUGUGAUGGACUUUUGUGCAAAAUACCCAAACUCCCUCUAGCGAGUCUGUAUGUUAUUGCAGCUUUCAAGUACACCAGUCACUGUAGCUGAAGGUUUUAAACUUCUGUAUUUGGCCCCAUUAGUGAAAGCUGCGAGUCUGAACUCGCCCAAAGCCAAGUGCAGGACCUUAGUUUUACUCAGUGGUAACUAACCGGGGCUGUUAAAAAGGUUCCCAUUGUUGGAGACAGAGCAGGACACCAGGAAAAUAAAAUUACCGUGAGGCAAUACCUUGUUUAAAUGAGAGCAUGCAGACUGAUGGAAAGCUGUAUUUUACUUGAAGCAUACUUAGCACAAAAUGAUCAGUUAUAAACUUAGAAAAAAGUUUUCUCCCUACUGAGAAAGUUUGAUUCUUUAAUGGUAAAAAUCAAGUUCAUCUUCAACAUUAAUGUUUAUCUCAUGGGAAGAAUAGUUGAGAAUGAAUGUGACAAGGGACAAAAAGUAAUUCUCCCAUGUGGUCAUACUACCAUUUCUGCAUUAAACUUCAAGAGAUCUGUUAACAUUUUUUCACUUGACACACAAUACUAUUUGACGUAAUUUAAGGCAUUUAAUACGCUACACAGAUUAAAUACCAGCUGUAUCUAUAUCAGACAGCAGGGGAGGCCCAGCACUUUGUAGUUUGUAACAUGGAACCGCUCCAUUUUAAUAUACGGAUUUAUCCUAUGUAACUAUGUAAUCAUUUAAGGUGGUCUUAGCAAGAAGGGAAUUAUAUUUGUGUUUUCACAGCACAGCAACUAAACCUCCAUUUAGGACGUUCAAGGAAAUUCCAUUUCCUGUCUUCAGGCAAAAAAUAGUGUUGAGAGAUGUGAGUAAUCAGAAUAGGAGCUCACUGCACAGCAUCUAAUUUCAACUGGGUUACUCCUGACAGCUGGUUUCACAUCUGAUCACUAGGUAAAUGAAACAGACUCUGCUAGUGAAAGACAAGAUACAAAUAGAUAACACUGUAAGUGGUGUUCCUGCCAACACCACAAAACCAGAUAGCAUUCCUAUAAAGGAUACUCUUCAGAAGCAUGUUAGUCACAUAAUUUAAUGUCCAGUUAAUCUCCAUGAGGUAAUAGUGAUUUCCUGAAUCACGCAGUGUUACAUUAGGCCAAAGUGCCUCCUAUCUGAGAUAAAAUCAAAACAUGUUACAGCCACUGGGAUUCUCCCUCCUCCCCCAAAUAUUCAUGUCAUCCUGAACUAACAAUGUAGUGCUUUUUCAGCUUUCAAAAAGCUAAGUAAACUCCAUUUUACAUACUUUGCGGGUGUGUGUGCAUAUACACACACAUGCGCGCGCGCACACACACACACACAACUGGCUAUUAUAUACAGUGAUUUGCAAUAGAAGCAAUAAGCCUCACAAAGUAGUGACUUACAGUACAAGUUCAGAUUUCUCCCCAGACAAUCAGAGAAGUCAUUUUUGUAGGCAUUUGACACAUUAAUUAAAAAAAUCAUGAGAACACAAUUUAGAAGCAUGGCUGGAAAACAGGUAAGGUACAGUCUGCAGCCUUAGCUGGAUGUAUAGGAUUGUGCAGUACAUGCUAAAACCAACAGAUUAAUGGGUAGGGGAGGCUACACAGAAGGAAGGUCCUGCUUAAUGGAUCCAUGCACAAAGGAAGAACAGGGUCUUACAGUAAUGACAUACACCAACAUUUCCUUCUUUAAUUCUAGGGGCCACAGAAUUAGCAGCAGUAAUCAAAUGAGUCUGUGACCACAAGGAAAAGAGCUUCCUUUCAGACACGCAUUACUCAGCAUUAUAGUUUCAAGGCUGAAGCACAACAGAGGGCAAAACCCCCCAGAUCUAUUCAAGGGAACAGCUUGUAAACAAAAGUGGCAAAGUGAGCUCACUGUAGUGUUAAGUGUGUUCAGACACCACAUCGGAAAGUUGUGCUGUCUCACCAGGUCCUAACUAUUAGUGUAAACGCAGAGGUGCUGCUGAAGUUGCAGAGUUUGGCUUAAAAAAGAAACCUACCCCCCUCUCCCCAGCCUAGCUGGAGAGUUGAAGGUUAAUCCAGGUAGAAAAAAAAAAAUCCCUUAAGCAU